rfam:Camelus ferus unplaced genomic scaffold scaffold193, whole genome shotgun sequence.
GAGGGUGUCGCUCAAGUGGUAGAGCGCGUGCUUAGCGUGCAUGAGGUCCCAGGUUCAAUCCCCGGUACCUCCU